CUCCAAGCGUCAUACCAGAAUGCAGCUGCAGUUACAAGGAACAAGCAAGACAUGUAUCUGUUAAAAGGUUUUCAAUUAUUUUACUG
rnacentral:lncRNA from 1 species